UGCGUUGCCUGCAUCACAGGGGUUUUCAACUGGUUUUGUCCAAUGGACCAUCAUUAUAACCACGAAGCAACUCGGGGACUACUGCUUUGGCAGAAUCUUAUUUUGUUUUGCACCAAAGGAGGAU